ACCUCUCCUUCGUGUUUGUUUGAUGCCCCUUCCUUCUAGAGAAGGAUUUUCAGCCCUUAAACCUUCCCCUGUGGCUUGGUUCGUGUCUCCUAAGUCAUGCCGGAGCGCGUGCUCCAUAAAGAUAGAGUUUGUCUUAAGCUGGUCUCAGGUUUUGCCUGCGUUCAACGUGCCCAUAGCUCCCGGAGCGUGACGGGCGCGAGGUGACGGAGGUCGGAGCGGGCUCGGAGCGCGGAAAGCAGCCCGUGCUGCUCGUUCACGAGUUUCACGUCUGUCUCCUGUUGUGCAGGCUUUCUGCCGUUGUUUCUCUGAAACUGUUACAUUUUCUCUGAUGGUGACUCAUCCAUCUAUAACUAGAGCUAAAAUUCCAGUGUUGCAGCAAAAAUAAAAUAUGAUGGAAGAAGCCUGAAAAAUAAUCGCAAAGAACAUACAGACAGCUGCUGUUAUGGAAAUAACCUCCUUACCUGCUUAUCCGCGAGCUACACGAGCCGUGCGGUUCCGAUGGGCUCCCGCGUCGUGAGCCGGCCCAUUCCCAAGGGUGGAAUCCUCUCACUCUGCUGCUUGGUUCUAUUCCUUGAAAUAAAGACUGCACAGAUAGUCAGCAUCCUCGAAUAACCUACAGAGAAUCACAAGAAGCCUGUUAGGAAAAGAAACAGUCUGCAAAAAUCAAAGGCAGAAGGCUUGCAGUGCUGAAGGUUAUGUGUGUAACCCCUCUGUGAAGACUUGGAAGGCAAAAUGGGUGUUAUCUCUGCGCCUGGGAGUGCCGGCUCCUUUCGCUGGAUGUUUUCCAGCGACCUUUGGAGCCGCUGCAGGGAGCGCAGGGCCCUGUCCAGUCCCGGCCGCCGGAGCUGCCGCCGGAGUCGCCGCUGCCCCGGCAGCUGCCGUGUGCUCAGCCCGUCCCAGCCCUCCGCGGUGGGCUCAGCAUGUGGCAGAUAACUCCAAGAUCAUGUCCACAGCACAAACAAGAACUGCUUGGAAAGGAUGAUAAAGCCUAACCCAUACUGUAUCAUCAUCUUUUACGAAAUCCUUUGAGGGUGAUCAAAAGUUAUUUCUAAGUCCGUGGUAAGUUUUUUCAUCACUUAGGUGGCUUUCCCAAAGUGUAUUAACUUGUCUUGGUAAAUGUACCUUCUGAAAACCAGAAGAUUGGAAACGGACUUUUUAAUGGUCUCCUUGCAUGUUGCUAAAGUUGUGGUAAAAUAUUUGUUGCAUUAAAAGCAUAUAUAUAUGAAUACUGCUACGGGAUGACUGCAUGAAUAUUCUUGAAAUCCUAGCGCUAAAUAAAUAAAUAUAAUAAAAAAUCAUUAUU